UACGUAGGGUGCAAGCGUUGUCCGGAAUUAUUGGGCGUAAAGAGCUCGUAGGCGGUCUGUCGCGUCUGCUGUGAAAAUCCAGGGCUCAACCCUGGACCUGCAGUGGGUACGGGCAGACUAGAGUGCGGUAGGGGAGAUCGGAAUUCCUGGUGUAGCGGUGAAAUGCGUAGAGAUCCGGAGGAACCCCAGAGGCGAAGGCGGCGUCCUGGCCCAUUUCUGACGUUCAGACAUGACAGCAUGGGGAGCGAACGGG
rnacentral:rRNA from 1 species